CAAUUGUGGCGGAGUUACUGUGAGUUACUUCGAGUGGGUUCAAAACAUCCAAGGGUUCAUGUGGGAGGAAGAGAAGGUGAACCACGAGCUACAACAAUAUAUGACCAGAGGCUUCAAAGAUGUCAAGGAGAUGUGCAAGACCCAUAACUGCGAUCUCCGAAUGGGUGCGUUCACCCUUGGUGUGAACCGUGUCGCUCGGGCAACCGUCCUCCGAGGCUGGGAAGCAUGAUCCUGCUACGGACUUACUUGGG
rnacentral:misc_RNA from 1 species